UCGGUGCGCCUUCUAUUGCACGUACAGUAACGUAAACACAACGGCGCGAGCUGUCAAACAAAAAACAACAACAAUAAUAAUACAAAACCUGGAAAUAUUUUAAAGAUUUUAUCAAUUAAGAAAGCUUAGUUAGUGAGAGGAGGUAGAGUUCUGCAUCCUGUCCAUCACUGCACCCCUGAAGCACCAUGGAGGGCUGCCAUUUAUCCUGUUCGUUUCAUAACUGUAAGCGGACCUUCAAUCAUCCAGAUGUUCUGAACAUCCACCUGAAGGACCAUCAUAAGAAUCCUGCACAAUCCCUGCCUGGUAAGUCGUUUCUGUGCUCGACGAUAGGAUGUGACGGAUCUUUCACCACCAUGCAGCAGCUGAUGGAUCACAUGAGGCAUCAUCACAAGCCGAAUUAUUUCUUCCUAUGUGAGAGCUGCCGGGCCAAGCUCCGCUCCUACCGCACCCUCCUCAAGCACCUCCAGACGUGCGCCAAGGUCGCCAAAGGCAAAGGCACGAGACCCGAAGGAGGUCUGAUACCCGAUCCGUCUGUUCCCAGCACUGAUUCCGACCCUGAUGGUUCUUUCCAAGCUGUAGAUGAAUCUCAGCAGAUGGAGUCUAACCCCUUGCUGCCUCCACAAGCUCAGUUUCAAGCCAUUUCAUCAGACCAAGAGUCCCUGUCUUCUCUGGCAGAAUCUGGAUCUACUGCUUCUGAGGCGGCAAAGUCCCAGAAUCAAGCGGAUGCUCCCUACAGCCCGUUUCCUCCAAGCCUGUCCCCUGCACCUGAUCCUGAGCCCCAGCGCUCGCCCAGGGUCGGUCCGGUCAGCAUGACGCCCUCUGUGCCACCACCUCCACCAGGCUCUAACGCCGUCUGGAGGAAGAACCAAGCAGACUUGCCUGCGCCUAUUUUGCACAGAUGGAACUCUCCUCAGACUUUGAGUAGAGAGGAUGUCCAGGUCAGUCCUUUAACAGUCGGAUCCUAUGGGAGCACACUAGGGGGCGAUACAGCUGCCUUCAGUGCGGUCACUCCACCCUCGAGCGCAAAGAGAUGACAGCACACAUCGAGAGCCAGCACAGGAGCCCAGGGGCCAAAACUAAUGACACGGACGCAUCGGUUGGUUCGCCUUCGUCCCUGGGUAAAACCUCAACAAACUCAGAGAGCACGAAUUACACUCAGCUUUAGAUUCCCACCAGAUGAUAAACUCCGGAUUUGAACGGCUGUUGUAGCUCACACGAUCAAAAUCUCAAGUAUCAAAACAGUGACUUUCUGGUUGAAUCUCUCCAGGAAGUUCAUGUUCUACUUAUUUUCCAUUUACAUUUUGAUUGUAAUUACAGUAUGAUUAAAAAGAAUGUAUACAUUGUAUUUUAAGGCCUACAGCAGUAGAUUGUAUGUGCUUUAGUAGUGGCAUGUAACUGAUUUGUACUUGAUUGUACACACAGGCAAGUACAUCAGUGUUUUUAAUAUCAGUAAAAAUAUUGAAGUGG